rnacentral:rRNA from 1 species
GUGGGGAAUAUUGGACAAUGGGCGCAAGCCUGAUCCAGCCAUGCCGCGUGAGUGAUGAAGGCCUUAGGGUUGUAAAGCUCUUUCAGUGGGGACGAUAAUGACGGUACCCACAGAAGAAGCCCCGGCUAACUUCGUGCCAGCAGCCGCGGUAAUACGAAGGGGGCUAGCGUUGUUCGGAUUUACUGGGCGUAAAGCGCACGUAGGCGGAUCGUUAAGUCGAGGGUGAAAUCCUGGAGCUCAACUCCAGAACUGCCUUCGAUACUGGCGAUCUUGAGUCCGGAAGAGGUGAGUGGAACUCCUAGUGUAGAGGUGGAAUUCGUAGAUAUUAGGAAGAACACCAGUGGCGAAGGCGGCUCACUGGUCCGGUACUGACGCUGAGGUGCGAAAGCGUGGGGAGCAAACAGGAUUAGAAACCCGAGUAGUCC